UGAAUCAAUGCACCCCCUCCCCCAUUCGGACGCAAUAACCCAGCUCAUUGGGUCAAAUCAACUCCGCGCAGGAUCAGCGCAGCGCGGGCUGACUGAAUUCGAGGUGGAGGUGGAUGCCACACACACGCUGUAAUAUUUGGAGAAAUAAGACCUGCUCUUGACUGUCCGUGGUGGCAAAUCCACAGCCUUUAGCUGGAGUAGAAUCAACCGUAUCUGAAGAGAGAGCUGAGGAAAUUAAACAAUGGCUGAGAAACAACACACAGCCCAUCAGCCAGGUGGAACAGUACAUCUGAAAAAUAUGUUUGAGGUCCUCCAUGAGUUUCCUCGGCUAACUACCUCAGGCAUGAUUGCACAGGACUUUCACAUUUUACAUUAAGAUGAAGCCCCAAAACUGUUUGAAAAAUGGCUGGUAUACUGACAGGAUCUUGCUUUUUGUGAGCGAGAAGCAAAGCUUUCAUGUACAGCUGAAGAAAUGACAGAAGGUUGGAACAAAUAUGGUGGAGUACCUCCAGCAGGCUGAAGCAUCAAGACCUUACCCAUAUGUCCUGUAACUUGAAAAUGGACACAUUGCGUCGCGGGCAUUUGUCAUCCUCGCAGGAGAAGCUUUGGAACAAAGAACUAUUGUUUAAGGGGAAGUCAUGGCCUAAUGGUUAGAGAGUUGGACUCGCAAUUUAAGGGUUGUGUGUUCGAGUCUCGGGCCGACAGGAAUUGUAG